UCUCCUCCUCCAAAUCUUCCCUUUGCCUCUUUUGUGAUCAGAAAAAUCGAUAGCAAUGAUUUCACAGGGAUUUCCUUCUGAAAAAACUUAUUACCCUUCACAAAAGAGAAUGUUCACACUACUUCUCACUCAAUCAAAGAGAAUAGGCCUUUUACAAUUGUUCAAUGUAUUAAAGCAAUAUAAAAUAAAGCAAUAAACUAAAAUAUAGUCAGUUCUCCACUCACUUUUUUCUCCUGGUUGGCACAACAAGGAUUCAUAACUAGAAACUUCAGAAUCUAGGGCAGGGCAAUUCAGUUUCUACCUUGUGUCUUCUGCUCUGCAAACUGCAGAAAGUCAACUAACAAGACAAGCCAGGUUUGAAUGAUCCUUCAACAUCCAUCUAUUCACAGGAAACACCUGAGAGGCAAUAGAAUACAAAUCUGGAAUGUUCUAUGUCCUUAACAAAAUGAUCUAUUGAUACCUUGAGGUAAAAAUGAGUUGGGUACGUAGGUCAGCCAACCUAAUGAGGAGCUUUCAAGUCCAGAAGAGCUCAGAAGGAUGAAAGCUUCCAGAGAAUUGGAACUGUGGGUUCCUAGAAAUUAAGUUACUUCACAAAAUAAUUCAAAUGUAUUUGAAUCUUCCAUAUUUGGAUUGUAGUGUGUGAUGACAUAAGAAAAAAUUUUCUAAAAAGUCAUUGCUGAAGGGGUGAGAGCCAGGGUUGGAUUUUAGGGGCGGCAGCACUGGGUGACCACUCACUGGGCUGUUAAGCAGACAGAAAACUCAACUGGGGAAGAAAGGGGACCGGGUGGGGGCAGAGGGGUCCUCUUGUCUCCAGGGCUCCAGGCCCUGCUUUACCUCACUCUACUGUGGCUCAGAUGCCUCUGAAGGCCUCAGGCUGCUUCUUGCCGGCUCCCACCCGGAGCUGUGAGUCCACACCUGGCCGACUUCCCACUCUGUUUUGUCAGGAUCCGGGGAGCUCUGGAUCUUCUUGCUCUCCACUGUAAAGGCAAAGACACAUUUAAAGGGGACUCUCAGGUAUUUUGAAAUGUGCAGUACAUUCUCACUGAUGCUUGCCACCCUGCUGUGCAACAGAUGUCAGGGCUUCUUCCUCCUGUCUGUCUGAAACUGUGUCCUGUGACCAAAUACCCAUGCCCUCCCUCUGCCGUCCCCCAGCCUCUCAUCACAUCAAGCUACUGUACUUCUAUGUGGUCAUCUUUGCAGAUUCAACAUAGUGCUGCUAAAACAUAGCUGACAUCAUGAUACUAUCAAAAUGUCUUCUCUGGUGUGUAAUACACAAUAAGGUCCAUUAUUAACAGCUGUAGAGCUUCUAGAAUAACUGUCAUCAUAAUUAACCCACACAAUCAUCAGAUUUGUCUUCAAAAAACCUCAGAGGCCAGGGAAAGAGACAAGAUGGUGGACAAGAAACACCUGUGGCCAGAGUGUCUCUGCAAGAAGGACAGAUUUUAGAUGAAUGUGAAAAAAAAAAAUAGAGAAUCAUAGAUCGGAUGAAUGUCAGAAGGAAGGGUCCCUGAACUUGCAGGAGACUCCACAGGAUGAGGUUGUGGAGCAGAACUGGAAGGAGAAAGGCAUCGGCAGGUCCCGAGCUACCGGAGACACCUGCUGCCACCAGCACAGAGAUGACUGCCGUCAGUGAAUAGUGAGCCUCUUGUGGACAGGGUACCGGGCUCCCAACUUCCUUGAGCCAUGACCUUCCUCACAGACUGCAGCCAAGCAGCAGGCGCCAUAUUGCUUCAUUCUCCCCUUUUCCUCUCCUACCUGCUGUUGAGAGAGACAAUUUAGCCACAAUCAGAAACCUCCAUAGGGAAUGGGACCCUUUCAUUUGGGGCUCUGCAGCAGAUUGAGGGGUACUCGAACUGUGAGCUCCCUAUACACAAGACCUCCCUGGUAGUGCUUGCCUGGUGACCCCAGUAGAGCAGACAAACCCUGAGAGAGACAUUGAUCCAGCUUGGGCACCCCUUGGGUGACUUGAGACCAGCAUUCUUCUCCCUGGCAAGGUCACU